rnacentral:rRNA from 1 species
CAGUCGCCGCGGUAAUACGUAGGUGGCGAGCGUUGUCCGGAAUUAUUGGGCGUAAAGGGAGCGCAGGUGGUUUAAUAAGUCCGAUGUGAAAGCCCACGGCUCAACCGUGGAGGGUCAUUGGAAACUGUUAAACUUGAGUGCAGGAGAGAAAAGUGGAAUUCCUAGUGUAGCGGUGAAAUGCGUAGAUAUUAGGAAGAACACCAGUGGCGAAGGCGGCUUUCUGGACGAAAACUGACGCUGAGGCGCGAAAGCCAGGGGAGCGAACGGGAUUAGAUACCCGUGUAGUCCCUGUCUCUUAUAC